CGCGUAGGCGGAUUGUUAAGUUAGAGGUGAAAGCCCUGGGCUCAACCUAGGAAUUGCCUUUGAAACUGAUAGUCUAGAGUCCGAGAGAGGAUGGCGGAAUUCCCAGUGUAGAGGUGAAAUUCGUAGAUAUUGGGAAGAACACCAGUGGCGAAGGCGGCCAUCUGGCUCGGUACUGACGCUGAGGCGCGAAAGCGUGGGGAGCAAACA
rnacentral:rRNA from 1 species